GACGGGGUGGUUUCGUUGUGAUGAUGAAUGAAAUGUAGGGGCACGAUGCGCCGUGCCCCUACGAUGGGUGGGGGU
rnacentral:tRNA from 1 species